AGAGUUUGAUCCUGGCUCAGGACGAACGCUGGCGGCGUGCUUAACACAUGCAAGUCGAACGGUAAGGCCCUUCGGGGUACACGAGUGGCGAACGGGUGAGUAACACGUGGGUAAUCUGCCCUGCACAUCGGGAUAAGCCUGGGAAACUGGGUCUAAUACCGAAUAGGACCACAGGACACAUGUCCUGUGGUGGAAAGCUUUUGCGGUGUGGGAUGGGCCCGCGGCCUAUCAGCUUGUUGGUGGGGUGAUGGCCUACCAAGGCGACGACGGGUAGCCGGCCUGAGAGGGUGUCCGGCCACACUGGGACUGAGAUACGGCCCAGACUCCUACGGGAGGCAGCAGUGGGGAAUAUUGCACAAUGGGCGAAAGCCUGAUGCAGCGACGCCGCGUGGGGGAUGACGGCCUUCGGGUUGUAAACCUCUUUCACCAUCGACGAAGGUCCGAGUUUUCUCGGGCUGACGGUAGGUGGAGAAGAAGCACCGGCCAACUACGUGCCAGCAGCCGCGGUAAUACGUAGGGUGCGAGCGUUGUCCGGAAUUACUGGGCGUAAAGAGCUCGUAGGUGGUUUGUCGCGUUGUUCGUGAAAUCUCACGGCUUAACUGUGAGCGUGCGGGCGAUACGGGCAGACUUGAGUACUGCAGGGGAGACUGGAAUUCCUGGUGUAGCGGUGGAAUGCGCAGAUAUCAGGAGGAACACCGGUGGCGAAGGCGGGUCUCUGGGCAGUAACUGACGCUGAGGAGCGAAAGCGUGGGGAGCGAACAGGAUUAGAUACCCUGGUAGUCC
rnacentral:rRNA from 1 species